CUAAGAAUCUUGCGCAAUGGGCGAAAGCCUGACGCAGCAACGCCGAGUGGGGGACGAAGGCCUUCGGGCCGUAAACCCCAUUUGCGAGGGAAGAAGUUCUGACGGUACCUCGCGAAUAAGCCACGGCUAACUACGUGCCAGCAGCCGCGGUAAUACGUAGGUGGCAAGCGUUGUCCGGAUUUACUGGGCGUAAAGCGCCCGCAGGCGGCCUGUCGAGUUCAAGGUGAAAUCUCCCGGCUUAACUGGGAGGGUGCCUCGAAAACUGGCAGGCUUGAGGCAUGGAGAGGGAUGCAGAAUUCCCGGUGUAGCGGUGAAAUGCGUAGAUAUCGGGAGGAAUACCAGUGGCGAAGGCGGCAUCCUGGCCAUGUCCUGACGCUCAGGGGCGAAAGCGUGGGGAGCAAACCGGAUUAGAUACCCGGGUAGUCCACGCCGUAAACGAUGAGUACUAGGUGUAGGGGGUAUCGACCCCCUCUGUGCCGAAGCUAACGCGAUAAGUACUCCGCCUGGGGACUACGGCCGCAAGGCUA
rnacentral:rRNA from 1 species